rnacentral:lncRNA from 1 species
GCUCCAGGCACACUCCGAUGGAUGCAGGGGAGCAGUGGGUUUCAAAGCAAGAAGUGAGUCUGCUCAGCUUUGAAUUUUUGCUCUUCCACUGCAUAAUUGUGCACACUGAGCAAGUCACUCAAACUCUCUGAACCCUAAUUCCUCCUCUGUAAAAUAGGGUAAGUAAUAAUUAUCGUUUGUCAUUGUUUUGCGGUUUAGAUGAGUAAAUGUGAAAAACGAAUACUUUCACAAAUGCAUCUCAACUAUCACAGUAAAAGGAAAUGUGACAAAAGAAAAAGCCUAUUGAAAAAUAUAAAACAUCUAAGAGAAAACUAUCAUGAUCAUAAUUACUUAUUGUUUUUAUUCUAGCUUAAAGUUAAAUUAUGCUUAAAGUUAUAAUAAGAAGCAAUAAAGGUUAACUCCAAUUAUUAUACUCAAAAUUCUUCUGUGAAGACAUCUCUGAGUAUAUUAACGAAGUCAUACUACUCUGUUUUUUUCUUUGAACCUGGGGCUUAUUUUUUUAAUGAUACAACUUAGCAGUCUAAAAACAUACUUGGUAAUGCUCUUUAAUAAUUACUAUAAGUAUAUUCAGCUUGUCUCCUUAAUUAUGUUGCAAACUCCAGAGCAUACUCUAUGCUGUUUCUGUCUUCUGAAUCACUGCCAAGCCCUUAAUUAAUAUUUGAUCUUUGGAUACAAUGGCUUAGAUUUCACAGUUCUUCAAAAAUUGUUUUUAUAAAAGACUGCCAGGCAUAUCAGGUUUUUAUAUACUUUUAUGUAAGUUAUAGUAUUUGCAUUUUGUAAUAACACCGUGAAAACUGGGUGCAAUGGCACACACCUGUAAUCCCACUGACUGGGGCGGCCGAGGCAGGAGGAUUGCAAGUUUGAGGGCAGCCUGGGCUAUUUAAUGAGACCCUGUCUCAAAAUGAAAAUAAAAAUAGGUGUGGGGGGAGCAUCCUUGGAUUAAAUCCCUAGUACCAAAAUAAAUAAAUAAAUAAUAAAACAACACCAUGCAGGUGAGAACAUUUUCUUAUGCCUGUUUUACAGGUGACAGAUAGGAACAUCUGAGCAUUUAAAUAAUAUAAUUAUUAAGUUCAUAGGCCAGAAUUUAAACCUAGGUCCUCUGACUCCAAAAUAAGACUAUCUAUCUAUGUAUGUACUACACACACAUACAUUAGUCUAAAUUAAAUGACUAACAGACCAUUGAAAAUGGGAGUUAAAGCAGGCAUAUUUACAAGGGGAUAGAAAUCAGGGUUUCAGUUAGAGAGUGAUACAAAUGGAGUUGGACCAUGUCUUCCAAGCCCUCCUGGAUCUCUGGGUCAAGGUCAAAAUGGCCACUAAAGCCACUGGGGUGGGGGAUGGGUUGCAGUGCAACAGGUGAAGUAAUGGCGUGUGGAAGGCUGUCUAUGGAGGACUGCUGGGGUGGGGAGGGGUUCUUAUGGAACCCAGGGACAGAAUUAGGUGGUGGGAACUGCCUGAUUGGAGCAGGACACUUUCAUUCCAGGACCUGCAGCGGGGAGGCCUGUCUCUCUGCAAUCCCAUUCAUGCUCCUGUUUCCCACUGGCUGGACCCAACCAGGAGUCAGAAAGCCUGUUGAUACUCUCUGUGGGUACAGAAAAUAGUCGGUGCUGUUGGAAUGUGUCUGCUUGAUGUGGGUUGGAGAGGGUGGACAGAGAUGAGGAGAAGGUGGUGAGGGCAACUGGAAAAUUGCAGGCGUAACAUUAGUGAGUCUUUGUCAGAGAUGAGCAUUUUAUUCUGAGACACAAGGCUCUGAGAGGUCAGCAAUUUCAUAUUCUAUUUGGAUGCAUUUCCUGGGCAUGCAGAGGGAUUCUCUCCUUGUCAUUUGUUCUGUGUUCUGGGAGAAUGGCUCUGCUUUAGAGUUGAAGGGAAAAAAAAAUUGAGUAUGCUAAAUAGAAAUUUGUGCCCCUGCGGUUCUCUGGUAUCUAAGAAGUCCUGAGUGAGGUGUGGUCAUGAACCAGGAAGACAGUGAUGUCUCUCUUGCUUUGUGGUCAAAUAAAGGACUCCAUUGUUCUUUGGAAGUAUCUGCUUUGUCUUAAGAACCUGACAUGUGGCUCUGUCUUUUCCACAAGUCCCUUCCCCUUUUAUUUCCUUAUCUGUGUUUUCCUCCUGUGCUGGCUGCAGGAGGGCAACCUGGGCAUGCUCAGUCUGACUUCCUGCUAGGCUCUUUCCGACACUGAAAUCUUCCAGUAAUAUUUGGCCACGGCAAGGAAGUUGCUGGCUCUUGUUUCUAGUAUACUGUUCAGCAAAGUGGCAGCUGUCUCCUGCUUUGGGACUGAGGGUGAAAAUAGCAGGCUCCCAUUGCUAGUGCAGAGAGCCCUGGGAGAGAGUGCCCUAGUUCUGGUUACCUGAAGUGGUUAAGUCAGACUGGCCAACAGAUUUUCCAACAAAAAGGCUUGAGAGUUUGAGAAAAUUUUUUCUCUUCUCACUUGUUAGCUCUUUCUAAAAUAUUUGGAUGAAUUCACUGGUGAGGACUUUUGGGCCUGGAGAUCAUUUUAUGGAAAGAUUUUAAAUUAGAUGCAGUUUUUUUUUUUAAUACAUGACCAGUCAAAAUUUUUGUAUGUGUGUAUACUUUUAUAUACACAUAUAAGUUGGAUUUUUCAAAGGAUUUACCUCUUUCAUUCAAAUUUUCAUUGGGGGGGGUCAUAUAGUUGUUUAUAAUACAUCUUUUUAAGAUUUCUCUACCUCAUUAAUCUUUGCUCUUAAAUUUAUUUUGUUUGGCUUGCAUGUUCUUUUCAUAGUUUUAUUUUUAUACUAUCAUUUUUUUUAAAAUUGAUACAGAUGUUCAGAGCUAUGAAUUCAUGAAUUUCUUCUGAUUCCAUGGAUUGGUACAUUUAUUAGUGCUCUUUUAUUUUUAUAAUCAUUAUUAUUUUCAGAAUUUCUAUUUACAUUUCUCUUGCCCAAGAGUUAGAGGCCUUUUUUUUACCCCCUUAUUUUUAUUUUCUAGCUUUUUUUUUUUUGCAUUGUUAUUGAAGUGUGCUGCUUAUAAUAUUUCUACUGAAUGGAACCCACUGAUGUUUUCUUGGAACCAAAGUACAUGUUCAAUUUUGAUUCCUUGUUCACUUGAGAAGAAGGUGUAUUUUCUUUUAUCGGGGUAGAGUGUUUGAUGCAUGUCCAAAAGGUCCACCCUUUGCUGUUCAGAUAUUUUAGAACCUCAAUUUUUGGCCUACUUGACCUGUGUUGUAUUGAGAAUAGUGUGUGACAGUGUCCUAUUGUUGGUGUGUUUCUUUGUAUUUCUCCUUGUUUUGUCGAUUACUUGUAUUUUAUAUAGGUGGUUGCUAGGUUAUUUGCUGUCUAGAUAUUCAUGACUUGUAUCUUCAAUGUACUUUCAAAUAAUGUUAAAAUGUCCUUCUUUGUCUCAUUAAAUGCCUUUUGGUUUGUGACCUCUUUGUUGUUGUUGGUUUGUUUUACCUGCUUCAUUUUUGGUCACCCUUUUAAUCUUUUUGAAUUCCUCAUUGUAAGUCUAGCUGAUAUAUACUGUAGACUUAGGUUUUCCACUAUACUUCAACUUGAAAAUCUUUUCCAUUAGUAGAUAAUUUUAGCCUGUUCACAUUUAUCCAUGUGACUGUAAUAUUUGAUCUCAAACAUAUUCCUUUAUGUUAACUAUGUACACCCUUCCACAUUUACUAUUUUUACUUUUCACUUGCUUUAAUGUUCUUGAUUUUUAAAAUUUUCAUUUUGGUAUUUGAGAAAAAUUUUAACUUUAAUUCUAAAUGAUUUCCUUUGGGUUAAUACAUUUAUUAGUGCUCUCAAAUCCCCUUAUAUUUAUUUAUUUGUUUAUUUAUUUUGGUACCAGGGAUUGAACUCAGGGGUACUCUACUACUGAGCAACAUCCCCAGCCCUAUUUUGUGUUUUUAUUUAGAGAUCGCGUCUCACUGAGUUGCUUAGCACCUCACUUUUGCUGAGGUUGCAUUUGAACUCUGGAUCUUGCUGCCUCAGCCUCUUGAGCUGCUGGGGAUUUGAGGUGUGGGCCACUGUGCCUUGCAAUUUCCUUUAUUUUUACUUAAGUUUGAACUUCUCUCAGUUUUGAAUGGUGUCAUCUGACUCCCUCAGCCUGUGCAGUUAAUGAUGUUAUUCUACUUUCUAUUUUCUCCCUCUUUACUGCUAUGGUUUAGGUGUCUUCCUUGGUCCUCAGCCUGUUGUGCUAUUGGGAGGUGGUGGAGCCUUUAAGAGACAGAGCCUACUGGGAGGAGUUAGGUCACUGGGGUUGUGCCUUUGAAAGGGAUGGCUACUGGGACCCCAACUCCUUCCUCUCUCUUUUGCUUUCUGACUUUCCUGAGGUAAACGGACCCCCCCUCUGCCGCAUAUUCCUGUCAUGAUGUAUUCUGGGUUGAUUUUCCCAUGUGUCUACUAACAGGCCCUUUUAAUUUAUAGAUUCAUGGGAUUUAUUUUAUUCAUGGGAAUACCUAUUGCAUUAUUUUCUUAAAUACGUUUGUUCCCUUUUUAUUUGUUAUUAAAAUGCAUUAUUUGUAGAUAUCAGUGAGGUUCAGUGUGAUAUUUCCACACAUGCUUAUAGAGUGCACUGAUGAAGACCAUCCUCCCUUUAUCCCCACACCCUUCCAAACCUAUAGUCAUCACUAUUCUACUUUCAAAUAGACAUUCUAGGUUUUACACAUAAGCAAGAACAUGAGUUCUUGUCUUUCUGUCUGGCUUAUUUAACAUAUGUCCUUUAGUUCCAUCUAUUUGGCUGCAAAUGGCAAGAUUUCAUUCUUUGUGGUGAAAUAAUAUUCCAAUGUGUACGUAUUACAUUUUCUUUAUUCAACUACCCUUUGAUAGGCACCCGGACUGAUUCCAUCUCAUUGCUAUUUUAAAUAGUUAUAUAGAAUGCAUAAAAACAAACAAAAAACCUUGAUAACAAAAAAGCCACAAGUAAUCCAGUUAAAAAUAGGCAAAUGAUAUGAAUAUAUUUCAAAAGGAAUACAAGUGGCCAACAGAUAUGUGAGAUAUGUUCAAUAUCAGUAACUUUAAGGAAAAUGCAAAUCCAAACUGCAAAGAGAUAUGAUCUCAUGCCAGUUAGUUUUUUUUACUUUUUUUAAAAAUUUCUUUUGUAGGGAGUCCAUAAAAUUAAUGUUCAACUUUCUUUGUCUUUCUUUUCAAAUAAUUUUCUCUCUGGCCCUUUAUAUUUCUUGUGUUUCCUAUUUUCAAUUUCUUUUUCUUUUUAUACUUUUAUUUAAUGCUUUUUAUGAGGAGUUCAUUCAAGACUCUCUAGGAAAAAAAAGUCUACCCUUUAUUGAGAUUUAGACCUGUUUUCUGAUAUAAUUUUGUUUCUUUGUUUUUUUCUUCUUUUUCUUUUUCUGUUCUUUCCUGAGUUUAUUGUCCAUAGAGUGGUUUGGAUACAGAAACCCUAGGAUGUUGUGAAUUUUUUUUUUGAACUUUAUGCUUUUAUAACACCAGUGAAACCCUCACCAAAAUGUUUUUAUUUAGCUAGGCACAGCGGCACACUCCUGUAAUCUCAGCUAUCUGGGAGGCUAAGAGGAUUGUAAAUUUGAGGCCACCCUCAGCAAUUUAGCAAGACCCUGUCUCAAAAUAAAAAAAAAAAAAAAAAAAAAAAAAAAACAAGAAGGGAUGGGGAUGUAGCUCAGUGGUAGAGUGCCCCUGGGUUCAAUCCUCAGUAUAUAUAAAAAAAAAUUAUUUGCUCAGUACAAACAGAUGAUAUCUUCCAAUACUAAUAUCUAUCUUCUAGGAUUGCUAUAAGCAUUGAAUGAGUUAGUAAUUGUAAAGUACUUGGAGUUGGGGUUGGCAAACUUUUUCUGUUAACAAAUGUUUUUUAGCUUUGUGUUCCAUAGGGUUUUUGUCACAACAAUUUCAGUGUGAAAGCAGCCACAGACACUAUGUAAAUAAACGGGCAUGGCUAUGUUCUAAUAAAGCUUUAUUAGCCAAAAUAGGUAGCAACUUAGAUUUGAUUCAUGGGCCAUAGUUUGUUGUCCUCGGGUUUAAACAAAAUAAUAAGUGAAAUAUAAAUAUUAAUAAAUGAAACUAAUUGAAUGAACUCCAUGUAAAGGGGUAUUUUUAAAGAUGAUUUUUUCUAACAGAGUUGUACCACAGCUUUGUCCUAAAGACAAAUACAAUGAGAUCUGCAUAAAUAUACAUAGGUGUAUGCUGCAGGGCCUAACCCCUUGAACCCACAUGGAAGAAUGCUUAUCUUGCUCAUUGUGCAACAGGAAAGUCCUAACCUAGAACACUGUGUUUUGGGGACAAAGUGCUGUCAGAACACUGGAAAGCACAAUUUCUUCCUGUUGGUGUGGGGUCAGGGUAUGUGGCAGUUUCUGGACCCUUGGUGUCUUGACUUCUGUAAGAUGAUAUGUGUGUAUUACCCCUGGACUGUUAUGACUGUUAUAUGUAGAUCAGUACAUACCUGCUAUAAAAGCUGUUCUUGCUGUGCAAUAAAGCAGAUGCUGUUCUCUGAAAGUGUCCUGGGAGUGGUUCCUCCACACCCACAAGCUUCUCACAGUUCAUGUUGGAAGGUUAAGCCCUCUAGCAGGUAUACACACAGACACGAAAAACACUCACCAAACCUUCAUGCACACACUCAUGCACUCCUACACACUUAGCUAGUUCAUAUUAUGGUUCAAUUGAACUGCUUAUUUCAUUCCUCACUGACUGUCCCUUGACACUGAGAACAUGCUGAAUUUUAUUCUCACAUGCUCUGGCUCCAUAUGCUGGGGAAAGGCAAACUAAUUUUCAGCCUGGGCACAUAUUCACACUAGUGUAUAUAAAAUCAUAUAACAUUCCUAAGGCAAAUAUUUGUUUGGGGGGAGGGUAUUGGGGACUGCACUCAGGGGCACUCAAUCACUGAGCCACAUCCUCAGCCCUUUUUUGUAUUUUAUUUAGAGACAGGGUCUCACUGGGUUGCUUAGUCAUUGCUGAGGCCGGUUUUGAACGCUCAGUCCUCCUGUCUCAGCCUUCCCAGCUGCUGGGAUUACAGGCCUGCGCCACCACACAAGGACUAAGUCUAAUAUUGAUAAUGUUGAUUAAGUUCUGCUUUGGACUAACUACUUCAUCAUUUUUUUCAUUAAUGAUAAUAAUGAGGAUUUGCUUCAUGUCUUAUUUGUCAGCUUUUUGUCACUUUCACUAAAAUACACCAAAAGAUCAACUUAGAGGAUGAAACAUUUAUUUUGAUCUCAUGGUUUCAGAGGUUUAGUCCAUGGUCACCCAACCCCAUAGCUCUGGGCCCCAGGUAAGGAAAAAUAUUAUGGUGAAAGGGCAUGGCAGAAGAAAGCAGCUCAGUUUGUGAGCCUGGAAGAUUGUGGAAAUCAUGAGAUUUGGAGGGACAUCUCAUAUUCUAAUCAUAACACAUGUAAUUAUCAAUAUGUUCUAAAGUAUCUUUCUAUAAAUGAUCACUUUGAUGCUUUUUGUUGGAUGAUGAAUUUUGGGUUGGUUCCAUUGCAAGAAUGUUUGGAGUCUUCCUUGGAAUUGUGCAUCACUGUUCAGAUUAGUGCACCAAGAUUAGUCCUAGUAUCUCCAAUGCAAGGACAGUGGACUAACUAUAGAGAUGCAUGCUUGUAUACACCUUCUCCAUUAAUUGCAAUACAUGGUGGUAACUAGACUCAGAAAGACGUCUACUGGGAGACUUGGAGUGGGAGCAAUUUCUUCCCUUGCAUUUGUACUGUACCCAAGGCAGGUGGGAGUUUUAUUAAUCCUUUGGGUGAUGGUCAGAGCACUGAUGAUGCAGACAACAAUGAAGAAUAAUUAGGUUUGCCUUCAAACACAGAGAAGAGACUGAUUUGUGCCACAUGAUGAGUUUUGGCCACCUAGGGACUUGAACAUUUGAGUUUCCUGAGCCACUGCUGAUUUUAGAAGUCCCACCUGGUGAAGGAAUAUCUUUACUUCCCAGGAUGCAAUCAUAGGCAGGCCCUAACACAGCUAGAAAAUCUGCUGACUGUAAUCAGUGAGUCAACCAGCUGUUCCUAAAACAAGCUGACUGUCGAUGUGCUCUCCUGCUCAAGUCAGACUCAAUGUGGAAGAAUAAGGAGUUCAUUCAGUAAUAGCGGAGCUGACUCCCCCCCCCCCCCAGAUCCAGAGGCGAAAUUAAAGCAAUACAACAUUUUUGCCAGUUACAUUCUGUUUGGAAAAGAUGAAUCAUCCUCAUGUUUGUACUCAAAGGCAUCUAGUUAGAGGCAAGAUGAUUUGCAGAGUAAUUUUGUCUGCAGGAAUCACCUUUGACAGCAGAUCAAUAUCAGUAUAUGUGUUUGCUCUGGUGAGGAAGAAAAAAAGUAUACAUCUUGCUGGUCAGGCUGGAGAAAGCUUGAGUUGCUACUUCUCAAAUAUAUUAUUGCAAUAUUUUUACCUAAGUCAAAAGGUCAUAUACCAUAACAUUUAAAAUGCUAACAAAAAUCUUCAUUAAUGGUUUGAGUAAGCCCCAGUAAUAACCUAACACAGCUGCUUACUCUCCCUUUAAUCAGUUUCAAAUGGGUUGAGAUUGCAGUUUAAAAUGCAUCUAUUUCCUGGAUUUCUUCCCCUUUAUCUUUCAGGUUCUGGAUGAAGGAGUCUGGGGGCAGGCAAGAAGGACUGAAGGAAGCCGCCCAAAAGCAGAGCCAGUGUCAAGGACAUGAAAUGAACUUCAGAGGCCUGGGUUACUCACUGAUUUAUGUAGCUUUGGUGGCUAGGGAAGGAUGCAUGAAAACAUUUCUGUACACAGGAAUCAUCUUCAAUAGCAGCAUUUUCAGUGCAAGCUAAGGAUAGAACUGAUUGGUGGAAAAUUUCAUUGAACUUUAGAUAAAAAUGAAAGUGAGCAAGAUUAUUUCUAUUCAUUUUUAUUAUGAGAGAGUGAAUAUCAUUGGCCAAUUAAAAUAUUGAAUGCUUUUUUUUUUAGUUUGGGGCCAGAAUGACACAUAAUAAUACAACAAAUUCAAAGAAAUUUAUGCCCAAAGAAUUCUUUAGUUGUCUUAGUAUUUUGCUUCCUCUCUUUCAGAGGGCUAGGCUCAGUAAGGACAGAGCCAUGUUUUGUAAUGGUUCUCUUUCAUGAUUUUUCUCAUUUGCUAACCAUUUGUGUAGAUCUGAAAAUUCUGUAAACUAGUCUGUCUUUUUGAUUAUACAUGCAAAACCACUGCUGCAUGAUUGUUAAUUAUUUUAAUUGACCAUUCCUGCUUUCUUUACUAUGCUAUUAUCAUGGGAGUGGGUUAGUUAUCUAGUGAGUUGGUUAUCUUAGGAGUGGGUCAGUUAUUAUUGACAAUGACUUUGUUAUAAAAGUAAGCUCUCUUUCUCCCACAUGCUUACUGGCUUUCUGUCAUGGGAUAAGGUAGCAAAAAGACCCUCA